rnacentral:misc_RNA from 1 species
GAAAUGCGAUAAGUAAUGUGAAUUGCAGAGUUUAGUGAAUCAUCGAAUCUUUGAACGCACCUUGCGCUCCUUGGUAUUCCUUGGAGCAUGCCUGUUUGAGUAUCAUGAAAUCUUCAAAGUAAAUCUUUUGUUAACUCAAUUGGUUUCUACUUUGGUAUUGGAGGUCUUUGCAGCUUCACACCUGCUCCUCUUUGUUCAUUAGCUGGAUCUCAGUGUUAUGCUUGGUUCCACUCGGCGUGAUAAGUUAUCUAUCGCUGAGGACACUGUAAAAGGUGGCCAAGGUAAAUGCAGAUGAACCGCUUCUAAUAGUCCAUUGACUUGGACAAUACUUUUAUGAUCUGAUCUCAAAUCAGGUAGGACUACCCGCUGAACUUAAGC